CUGCCACAGUUGUCGUGUCUUGUGACCAGUGCUGCUUACUUCUCCAUUUAGGACUCACAGUUUGAUAAGUGAGUAUUUGGAGACUUACAUGGAAUACAGGUUUGUUUUUCACUGAAUUGAUCAAAAGUUGGACAUACUGGUGAGGCUGCCCAGAGCAGGAGAAACAGGAAAGAGCUGCGUUUUUGGAGAGAGGAUCAGAGACGCAGAAAGACAUCGAGAGUGAGUCUAUCUAAACAUCCCAGGAAGAUGAAGAAAAGCAGGAGUGCACAGGGGGUUACACCAGCGACGAGCAUAAGGAUCCUCCUGUGGGCCAAUUUUCCACAGGCAACACACUCGGGGUAGAGGUGUGCAAAGUCCACAGGCGGUUUUCUGGCAACCUACAGCUGCCUCCGUUGUCAUGGCGACAAGCGGAAAAGGAGAGGGACAGAGGCAGGCCGCUAACACCUGAAGAAGAUCCAGUGACCCGGACCAGACC